rnacentral:rRNA from 1 species
CCUACGGGAGGCAGCAGUGAGGAAUAUUGGUCAAUGGGCUUACGCCUGAACCAGCCAAGUCGCGUGAGGGAAGACUGCCCUAUGGAUUGUAAACCUCUUUUGUCAGGGAGCAACGCCGGCUACGUGUAGCCGGACUGAGAGUACCUGAAGAAAAAGCAUCGGCUAACUCCGUGCCAGCAGCCGCGGUAAUACGGAGGAUGCGAGCGUUAUCCGUAUUUAUUGGGUUUAAAGGGUGCGUAGGCGGAAUGCCAAGUCAGCGGUAAAAGCGCGGGGCUCAACCUCGCGCCGCCGUUGAAACUGGCGUUCUUGAGUGGGCGAGAAGUAUGCGGAAUGCGUGGUGUAGCGGUGAAAUGCAUAGAUAUCACGCAGAACUCCGAUUGCGAAGGCAGCAUACCGGCGCACAACUGACGCUGAAGCACGAAAGCGUGGGUAUCGAACAGGGUUAGAUACCCUUGUAGUC